AGGCAGCCUCUUUGUGAAAGAUAAAUUCACAUCGGUGGUUUUAAUCUGCUUGUUAUUUUUUCCUGCUCAGCAGAUUUACUGAGGUUGGGUACCAAAAUCCAAUCUCUGAAGCUGGUCUAGUAAGCUCAAGCACAUU